rnacentral:rRNA from 1 species
CCUACGGGUGGCUGCAGUCGAGAAUAUUCCCCAAUGGACGAAAGUCUGAGGGAGCGACGCCGCGUGCAGGAAGAAGCCCUUCGGGGUGUAAACUGCUUUUCUUUGGGAACAACUCUGAGUGUACCGAAGGAAUAAGGGGCUGCUAACUUCGUGCCAGCAGCAGCGGUAAUACGAAGGCCCCGAGCGUUAUCCGGAUUUAUUGGGCGUAAAGCGUUAAAAGGCGGUUUGGAAAGUCACUGGUUAAAUCCCACAGCUCAACUGUGGGGCCGCUGGUGAAACUCCCAAGCUUGAGGCUGGAAGAGGCGAGCGGAACUACCGGUGUAGUGGUAAAAUGCGUUAAUAUCGGUAGGAACACCAAAGGCGAAAGCAGCUCGCUGGUACAGUCCUGACGCUGAAUAACGAAAGCGUGGGGAGCGAAUGGGAUUAGAUACCCCUGUAGUC